GACAUGGGGAAGCGGCUGCAGGCCGAGCACAGAUGUCUGCACCCGGGGUGACCACAUGUCUGGGGAGACUCACGGUGGACUCCUCCACUGGGCACUUCAGCAUGGAGUGAGGACCUGGGCGCUGGCUGGAAGAGAGGCAGCUGCUGUCUUCUGUAGCUUCUGGAUGGAAGCGUAUAGACCCUGGAGAAAGUAUGCCCAUGCCUGCCUCUCUCCAUUUGGGAUCAUCCCUUGAUAUCCUCUGUGGAGGCCACAUGCUCAGAUGCCUGAGUCUUUUACAUCAAUUGGCAAAGCGUUAGCAUACAAGUAACACACACCUUUGAGAUGUGCCCAACCUUCUCAUGGUUGGUACAUGGCGGUCCUACCUCUCACAGGGAACUGGGGCGGGUAGGCUGCACACCUUAAA